GAAGGACACUCUGGAAAGCCGGCGGGAGCCCCCGCCGCACCGACGGGGUCAAGGGUUUCACCACCCGAAUCUCUCAGGUCACAGGACAGAGGGGGGUCA
rnacentral:ncRNA from 2 species